UCUCCCCUAGCUCAGCUGGUUAGAGCGUUCGACUGUUAAACUUCCUGUUUCGGAAGCCGCAAUCGAGAGGUCGACAGUUCAAUCCUGUCGGGGAGAG